rnacentral:tRNA from 1 species
UACAGAUAUUCCUUACUGGUAAAGGAGGUGCUCUGUAAAAGCAUUGGUUUUAUACCGUUGUGGGUUCGAGUCCCAUAUCUGUAC